AUCCGGCAGUACAUCACGUGACCGUGAUCUAACCGUAAGUAUGUAUUCAUACGCGCCGAUUAACAUGUUCUAAUAUUUGACCUUUGAAAUUUAUUGGGACGCAUCAUGAAAGUUAUCGUAAUAUUAUAUAUCAUCAUUUUUAUCUUCUUAAAAAUAUAUUACCGAACCAGACUUCCGUAUUUAUCAUGUUCAUUUACUUGAUUACGCAAUUUAUGACUUAUCUGGUGUGACGUCAUUUCUCUGACAAAACGUAUAUACUAUCUAGUUUCUCUCAGGAUUUUAGGGACAACAAUUUUGACGUGGCGGUUUUAACAGUAUUUUUUAAUAUUUUAAAGCAUCGAACGAAUCAUAAACGAUUUUCGGAGUGUGUGUUUGUCAUUCAUAAGUGUUAACUUCGAUAGGAAUAAAAUAAUUCGCUACGACAGGAUUACGGUUUCGUUAAUCGGGUUUUGGCCAAUUUGGGUCAGAAUGGUUAGCAUUCGAUACAAACGCUAUCAAAAAAGAGUGUGGCUUAAAUUACAUUCCGAUAAUAGAGAUGGAAAAACAGAAAAUGGAUUCCGACAAAGGGAUGGAAGAACAGACAAUGAAUGUGUAUAUCGUUGUACAUUUAUUGUUAUAAGCAAUGGAUUAAAGUUGUCAUUAAGGAUGUGAAGUUCUACCACGACCAUGAGAAUGGUGGUUCAUUCAUGGUUGAAUGCUCAAAGAGAUCCAAGGGCGCGUGCCGAAGAACACUGACAGGUAGCGUGGAGAUUGACGAUGAAGCCUUUGAAAUCAAACCGAUGCCGGAAAGAUUUGUGUCAAGGUCACUUGCCGGCAACAAGCUCAAUCCCCAUAUGCUCUCCAGGGUGGUAGAUCGAAACGGAAAAGGGAUUCCGAGCGUUAUUGCUAGACGAGGCCAAAGUGCAAAAGAGCUGGAAAACAACCUUUCCAAAGAACUACGACGACUUCUUCUGAAAAGCGAGUUCGACGCCUUCGCAGAGAAGCUAAACCUAUAUCGUGAGAAGAGACAAUCAACGAAGACGACAUAUGCCCUGGAAGUUCUGGUCGGAGCCGACCCUUCCAUUUGGAAAAAGUACCACGCAACUGCUGUUGCCACAUCCACUAUGACCAAGGAUGAGGCAACCGAGUUGUUCAUCCGAAAACGUUUCUCCCACAUCAUUAACGGGAUGAGUCUUCGUUAUGAAAGCAUCGAAGACCCAGAGAUGAAUAUUUACCUGACCAUGAGUGGAAUCAUAAUUUACAAGACAAUCGCUGCCAACAAUCCGUUACCGAAUGGUCAAACGGUGGAGACGGUUGAAGGGAGGGAGGUUGCAGAUGGUGGCUUCUACCUCGAACAGCUGGCCGGCUGGCUUGCGGGUCUCUCUGGUGCACCCAAAAAUGACCACGCUAUGGUGUUUACAGAGUACGACAUAUACUCGCUUGACGGUUCUACGAGAUCGUACGGCGUGGUAGGGAUUGCCUAUAUGAACGGCGUAUGUGCGGGAAAUCGUGUGUCCAUCAACGAGGACGAUGACUACUACACCACAACAAGCGUCGCUGCGCACGAAUUGGGACACAACCUCGGUGCCGACCACGACGGCGAAAAGGAUGUUGCCAUCGCCUCCGCUUGUCCGCCAGCCGACAUGUUCGUCAUGGCCCCAGCUGUAUCCUCAUUCAGUCCCGGCGCUGCGUACACGAUAAACCCAUGGCGCUUCUCGACAUGUUCCGUUAAGCAGUUCAAGAACUACAUCCAGUCGCUGGGUAAUAACAACUGCUUGUUGGACGCUGCAGCCGCCACGGACGAGUACAAACUCCACUCGAGCAAGUUACCCGGAGAGCUGUACUCGCCAACACAACAAUGCCAGCUCGAAUAUGGGCAAGAAUCCAUUUUUGGAUGCGACCAGUCGGCCACAGACCCACUGAUAUGCCUGCACAUGUCAUGCCAGCGUAAAGAUCAAUGUACAUACAUUGCUGCCGCCCGAGGCACACCGUGCGACGAGCCUUCUCUGAACAAGUGGUGCAAAGAGGGAAAGUGUGUCGCUAAAGGGACGUCCGGAACGCCCGGUAACCAAACGCCGAUUGGAAACGGGACCGAUAGUGGUGGAGUACAACCCCAACAACCACAACAACCUGAGCAACCUGAACAACCCCAACAACCCGAACAACCAAGUGAAAACAAUUAUGACUACUGGAAUUAAACACGAAAACCGGCCUAAUGACCACGGAAAAUACGGAUGUCCUGUAGUUUUAUAUAAUUAUAAUUGUCAAGUUGGACGGAUGGGUCCUUAAAAGCACGGGUGCUCUGCACAGUCAUUGGCAAAGAGGCUGAAGCGGAUACUUUUAUAUAUUUUUACAUUAUUGUGAUCCUAUUAUUGUUAAAUGUUGCCAUAAUAUGUUAUUUACCAAACAUUUAACUUGAUAUCUAGUAUUGUCUUCCAUUUCUUUACCAUUAUUAUCCCAGAGGUACUGGUUUAUGUUGUUGUUGCUUUUUAUACUUUUAUUACAUUAUUUUACAUUAUUGUGAUCAUAUUAUUGUUACAUGUUAUCAUACUAUGUUAUUUACCAAAAAAGUAACUUGAUAUCUAGUAUUGUUUUCCAUUUCUUUAGCAAAUUUAUUCUAGAGGCACUGGUUUAUGUUAUACUUUUUAUGGAUGCUUUUAUAUAUUUUUACAUUAUUGUGAUCCUAUUAUUAGCAAAUGCAUUCAAGAGGUACUUGUUUAUGUUCAGUUGUCAUUUUUAUGCCCCCGGAUCGAAUGAUCGGGGCAUAUUGUGUUUGGCCAGUCUGUCAUUCUGUCCCAAAACUUUAACCUUAGUUAAAGUUUUUUGAUAACUUUUGCAAUAUUUAAGACAGAAACUUGAUAUUUGGCAUGUAUGUGUAUCUCAUGGAGCUGCACAUUUUGAGUGGUGAAAGGUCAAGGUCAUCGUUCAAGGUCAAAGAAGCUAAUCCAAGGAAGUAAUAAGCUUUAAAGGGCGAUAAUUAUCUGUACCUGCCAAAUGAACAAAAAACAAAGCGGCGCAAUAGGGGGCAUUGUGUUCCUGACAAACACAUGUCUUGUUAUAAAUACAUUUAUAUAAAGUUCUGUAUUUUUUAGGACCUUAGUUAUAAACAUAUUUUCUAGUCAUACAUAAAAUGUUCUAGUCAUAAGCAUAUAUGUCAUAUUUUCAUACAGUUUGUACAUUAUUGUGAUUCUAUUGUUGUUAAAUGUUAUUAUAUUAUGUUAUUUCCCAAGAAGGUAUCUUGAGUUUAUCAAUAAAUUGCUUGUAUUGAG